CAAUAGCGUAUAUUAAAGUUGUUGCAGUUAAAACGCUCGUAGUCGGAUUUCGGGGCGGGUCCGCCGGUCUGCCGAUGGGUACGCACUGGCGGGCGCGUCCUUCCUUCCGGAGACUGGCCCUACUCUUAGCUGAGCGGGGUCGGGAGUCGGAUCGUUUACUUUGAAAAAAUCAGAGUGUUUCAAGCAGGCAGCUUGCUCUUGCAUGGAUUAGCAUGGGAUAAUGAAAUAGGACUUUGGUGCUAUUUUGUUGGUUUCGAACACCGAAGUAAUGAUUAACAGGGACAGUCAGGGGCACUCGUAUUCCGCCGAGAGAGGUGAAAUUCUCAGACCAGCGGAAGACGAACCACUGCGAAAGCAUUUGCCAGGGAUGUUUUCACUGA
rnacentral:rRNA from 1 species